UUACAUUUCAGGGUAUUUAUAUGACUCUGAUGAGGCUCUGGUGAACUUUGGGAGAACCAUUUAUGUUCCAUAAUCCUGUGGGGGAAAGUACCAAAAUACUGACCAAUAGCAUCACAGGUCAGAAAUGUCCCUUACCUCCUCUCUUCCAAUUCAUCCAAGGGAAAUGACUGACAGGAGCCCAAGCCAGGUCCAGUGUCUUCUUCCUGCUGCCUACAAAUCCAGAUGUUCUCUAGUUACUUCUCCAGUACCACAUCAGCCUGCAAGCUGCCAUGCUUCCCACCACGAUGAUAGUGGACUAAACUCUGAAACUGUGAGCAAGCUCCAAUUAAAUGCUGACCUUUAUAAGAGUUGUAGUGGUCAUGGUGUGUCUUUAGAGCAAUAGAUACUGAUUAAGCCUUGUU